CAGUACUCUCAGAGUGUGGAGCUGGCAGUGCCUCAAUGGUACUCUGGAUUUUCUUCUAGAAUGCCUCAACGGCACUCAACGGCAUUCUGAAUUUUUUUCUUGAAUGCAGAGCGGUGAAUGCUUCAACGGUACUCUGGAUUAAAAAAGCUGAACAUAAAAAAGCUGAGCAGACAGUGCCUCAACUAUACUUAAAUUAUAGCCAUGAGAUGGGAGGAAAUCGACUACAUGGAUGAAAUGCCCUUUUAAUUUUUCCAUGUUACCGUUUGAAAUAGCACCAUUCACCUCUUCUAUUUAUAGACAAUUCAUUUGAAAAUCAGUGGCAGAUUGUUCCCCAUUCUACUGUUUUUUGUUUGCAUGUGAUUGUCAUAUUUCUGGGUUUUAUUCAUAUUGUUCCCUAUUCUAUUUGUUUUUUUUUUCCUUGUGAUCCGCUUAUGUUUUUAUUCAGUUUUUGUGUUUGGAUUUUUUCCUUUUUCAAUUUUCAUGGUAUUCUGUGGAUGGUAAAUUUUGAAUGGGGCACUGAGGAAGGCAGAGCUAUACCUCCAUUAUAUUUGUAGUUGCACCUCCUCUAAUAUGCAAGGAGGUAUUCAAUAACGGGACCUAUUCCGCCAGAGCUUGGGAGGUGGUUGCAGAGUCCUUUAUAGCAUAUGGAGAUUGGCUAUAAUUCUUAAUCGGGCGGGAUUCCGCCAGAGCUCGAGUACUUGGACAUUGCUGGUGCUAAUCUUUCUGGCGUACUGCCACAAGGACAUGGAUGCUUUAUUUUAAUUAAUAGCAGUUCCAUUGCUGUUC